AUAUAUAUAUAUAAACUACAAUUAACUUGAAAUGUUUUACAAGAUCGAAUAUAAAACUAAUACAUGCAUGUAAAAUGAGGAUGUUUUAGUAAAAAUAUAAACAUAAUUAAUAGGGAUAAAGUGCAGAAAGGAUUUGUUUAAGGGAGAAAAUUAAUAUAACUAUAUAUAUGAAUAAAGGACUAAAUUAUACAAUAAAUUAUGUGUAUGUAUAUAUAUAUGAUAAUUUUCACAUAAGAGCUUCACUUUAAGCCCUAUCGAUAACACUAAAAGCCCUACCGAUAGGACUUAAAGUGAAGCUCCUAUAAAAAAAUUGUCCUAUAUAUAUAUUAAAAAAAUUGAGAAAUUUGAGAGAGGGAAGUUAUUGCCCCACUAGAACUAAUGUGGUCCGACAUUGUUAUUAAUUUGGAUGCUUUUUUUUAGUUAUAUUUGGCUCUAUUUGAAUAUUUUGAUAUGAUUUUUAUUAUGUAUCACAUGUGACAUGAUGAGUCAGUAGUAAUUUUUCUGUGAAAAUAUAUUUAUAAUAUCUCAUUUCCCAAAUUACCAAGUCUAUUUUUAUGCUUUAGAGAACAAAUUCUCUCACUUUGUAAUUGAUCAAUGAAAAACAAUGAAGGUAGACUCGAGAUAUCAUAGCUGA